UGUUUAAGAAAGAAGACUGGCAAGCUGCCUGCCCUCCCCUGGGAGCAUCAUUCUCCAGGUGUCAUCAAGUCUAAUUUCAUAGUGAGCUGUGACAGCUUAAUGCCUCGGGACUGAAUUGCUGAGAAGUUGCAGGCUGAUGGAUGGCCAGAGAAGUGCUGAAACCUGAGGACUUGACCAUGCCAUGUACCCCAGCUCAGGUUAAACUUCCCUGGAUACUAAUGGAGGCAUAUAAACAGAAAACAAUCAUGAAGCAUGCUAGUUUGGCAGAACAGCCUUGCCGAGGAACAAGACUGAACUGUGGAGAAGCCUGGCUUUGUGUUUUGGGCUCCUGAUGCUGCAGGGAAACGCACCGGCAGCUGUGUCAGGCCCAGCGACCAGCAGCACCUCGAGUAGACUCUCAUCUGCAAAGAACUCGUCACACCCU